UGGUUAGGUGGGGAUAAUGUUGAUGCAACAAUCGUGAAGAUGGCGAAUUUCAUCAUCUAAAUAAAUUAAAAAAAGAACAAGCGGGAGUUGAAGCGCUUUAUUUUCACUAAAUUUCUAAAACUUCUUUCUUUCCCUCAUUAGCCACUCUCAGUCCCUCUCAUCCGGUUCCCCUCUCUCUCCUCUCUGUUCCUCGUCUCUCUCAAUCUCUAUCUCAAUUCACCUCCUUUUUUCGAACUCAUCUCCAAGCAAUGGCGAAUUUCGUUCCUCCUGUGGGGAUAAUGUUGAUGCAACAAUCGUGAAGAUGGAGUAGUUUCAUUGAUGAGAAUUGUCAGGUACUCGAAAAUAAUGAAGGUACAAUAGAUCAAGAACGCAUGGCUUCAAAGUAGCUACCAUCGUAUCGUCAUCUAUUUUGCUAGCGAUCGUAAACAUUAAUAGAGUUGAAAUUAAAUCUUGAAUCUUUUUUCCAAUUUACGAUUAUUUAUGGCUUUUUAAUG